rnacentral:rRNA from 1 species
AAUAGAUACCCUGGUAGUCCAUGCCGUAAACGAUGAUUACUAAGUGUUGGAGGGUUUCCGCCCUUCAGUGCUGCAGCUAACGCAUUAAGUAAUCCGCCUGGGGAGUACGACCGCAAGGUUGAAACUCAAAAGAAUUGACGGGGGCCCGCACAAGCGGUGGAGCAUGUGGUUUAAUUCGAAGCUACGCGAAGAACCUUACCAGGUCUUGACAUCUUCUGCCAACCUAAGAGAUUAGGCGUUCCCUUCGGGGACAGAAUGACAGGUGGUGCAUGGUUGUCGUCAGCUCGUGUCGUGAGAUGUUGGGUUAAGUCCCGCAACGAGCGCAACCCUUAUUACUAGUUGCCAGCAUUCAGUUGGGCACUCUAGUGAGACUGCCGGUGACAAACCGGAGGAAGGUGGGGACGACGUCAAAUCAUCGUGCCCCUUAUGACCUGGGCUACACACGUGCUACAAUGGAUGGUACAACGAGUCGCGAAACCGCGAGGUUUAGCUAAUCUCCUAAAACCAUUCUCAGUUCGGACUGUAGGCUGCAACUCGCCUAAC